AGGCUUAACACAUGCAAGUCGAGCGCCCCGCAAGGGGAGCGGCAGACGGGUGAGUAACGCGUGGGAAUCUACCCUUGACUACGGAAUAACGCAGGGAAACUUGUGCUAAUACCGUAUGUGUCCUUCGGGAGAAAGAUUUAUCGGUCAAGGAUGAGCCCGCGUUGGAUUAGCUAGUUGGUGGGGUAAAGGCCUACCAAGGCGACGAUCCAUAGCUGGUCUGAGAGGAUGAUCAGCCACAUUGGGACUGAGACACUGCCCAA
rnacentral:rRNA from 1 species